rnacentral:rRNA from 1 species
UACGUAGGAGGCGAGCGUUGUCCGGAGUUACUGGGCGUAAAGCGUCUGUAGGUGGUUUAAUAAGUCAACUGUUAAAUCUUGAGGCUCAACCUCAAAAUCGCAGUCGAAACUAUUAGGCUAGAGUAUAGUAGGGGUAAAGGGAAUUUCCAGUGGAGCGGUGAAAUGCGUAGAGAUUGGAAAGAACACCGAUGGCGAAGGCACUUUACUGGGCUAUUACUAACACUCAGAGACGAAAGCUAGGGUAGCAAAUGGG